rnacentral:rRNA from 7 species
CAGACCUCUAAUCGGGAAAGACUACCCGCUGAGUUUAA